rnacentral:rRNA from 1 species
UACGAAGGGGGCUAGCGUUGUUCGCAAUUACUGGGCGUAAAGCGUACGCAGGCGGUGAUGUAAGACCGAUGUGAAAUCCCCGGGCUUAACCUGGGAACUGCAUUGGUGACUGCAUUGCUGGAGUAUGGCAGAGGGGGGUGGAAUUCCACGUGUAGCAGUGAAAUGCGUAGAGAUGUGGAGGAACACCGAUGGCGAAGGCAGCCCCCUGGGCCAAUACUGACGCUCAUGCACGAAAGCGUGGGGAGCAAACAGG